rnacentral:lncRNA from 1 species
AGCUCAGGUCUGUUUUUGAUAGCUUCUUUUCUGGAUCAAGAGAUGGCUCCUCGCGAUUUUGAGGAGGAGACAUCUAUAAUUAUAAGCUGUUUAUUUCAGGACGAGAGGGACACCUUCCUAGAGACUGAUGGUCCUGAGGACGAUGACUUUGACGCAGCGCGGAUAGCUGCUAAACUCAGAGAGCUGGGAGAUCACUACAAUGAGACUGUGAUCCAGCCACUGAUUAAAGAAGUGCAGUCAGCCGCCAAGGAUCAGGUGCUGACUGCUUUCAGUAACAGUGUGGAGACCUUGUGUAAAACAUGGGUGGCGGAGAGACCGGAGGUCGCAUCUGAGAAGCAGCUCCUGAAGGCCUCCAUCACUCUGGCACUUUACAUGAAGAAGAACUGUCCCGACAUGACCGGAACCGUCCAGUCCGCCAUGAACAGCUUCGUCAACAACCGACUGGCCAACUGGAUCAUUCAGCAGGGCGGCUGGGAGCAAGCCUCUUCCUGCUGAGAUUCACCUUUCACCUCCUGAACUGUUGAACAGCAGAAGCCACCACACCCUCCUCAGGAAUUCCUUUGAAACCGGAUAAAGACACAAAUCUGUGACAUACAAAAACUGUUUUUAUUGUUUAAGACUCUUACAGACAAACAGUGUGCUGAGUGAAUGAAUGUGAGUGCAUUGGGUGGUGAGCAUGUGUAGUUUUUUUUUUUUUUUUUUAGUUUAUACAAU